UGACAGUUGCAGAGACCCUAAUGGCAUUCCGAACCCGAAAGAAGAAGAAAACCCAAAAAAUUCGAAUGCCAAGCCAAAAGUAGUAGUGAUAAUGGGAGCAACAUGUUCUGGAAAAUCUCGUCUCGCCAUUAACCUAACUUCACAAUUCCCUAUCGAAAUCAUUAACGCCGAUUCCAUGCAGGUGUACGAAGGAUUGCAUGUUCUCACUAAUAAAGUUCCACUUGACGAUCAGAAAGGAGUGCCACACCAUCUCUUGGGUAUAAUCAGCCCUAUGGUCGAGUUCACUGCAAAGGAUUUUAGGUAUUC